AGGUAUUCCCCGUGGGUGGGAGUUUCUAAAUCUUCUUCAUAUUUGAUGCUGGAUUACUAGAUUUAGUUGUUGCUUCUACACUCUCGAGAGACCUCUCUCAGGAUAUGCUGACAAGGCUGGAGGAGCUACUGACUAUCCAGAUUUGGAUUCGUCAACGGAUGCAACAGAGGAAGCUACUGGGGGCAGAGGCAGGAGUACCCGUCUCAGGCGGGAAAAGAGAAGGAACUCAGUAUGACCUUUAGCUCGUUGGAAGGAAUUCGUAGCGGCAUUUACAGUGAAGUAGGAUGCUUCGAUUCUCUUUCAGUCGACUAAGCGGAGCGGCACAUUCCAGCCCGUAAGUCUAAGGAUUCCUCAUCAUCUUAUCUGACGUGCUGGCUAUCUU
rnacentral:lncRNA from 1 species